AGCGAACGCUGGCGGCAGGCCUAACACAUGCAAGUCGAACGAACUCUUCGGAGUUAGUGGCGGACGGGUGAGUAACACGUGGGAACGUGCCUUUUGGUUCGGAAUAACUCAGGGAAACUUGUGCUAAUACCGAAUGUGCCCUUCGGGGGAAAGAUUUAUCGCCAUUAGAGCGGCCCGCGUCUGAUUAGCUAGUUGGUGAGGUAACGGCUCACCAAGGCGUCGAUCAGUAGCUGGUCUGAGAGGAUGACCAGCCACACUGGGACUGAGACACGGCCCAGACUCCUACGGGAGGCAGCAGUGGGGAAUCUUGCGCAAGGGGCGAAAGCGUGACGCAGCCAUGCCGCGUGAAUGAUGAAGGUCUUAGGAUUGUAAAAUUCUUUCACCGGGGACGAUAAUGACGGUACCCGGAGAAGAAGCCCCGGCUAACUUCGUG
rnacentral:rRNA from 1 species